UACGUAGGGUGCAAGCGUUAUCCGGAAUUAUUGGGCGUAAAGAGCUCGUAGGCGGUUUGUCACGUCUGCUGUGAAAACUGGAGGCUCAACCUCCAGCCUGCAGUGGGUACGGGCAGACUAGAGUGCGGUAGGGGAGAUUGGAAUUCCUGGUGUAGCGGUGAAAUGCGCAGAUAUCGGGAGGAACACCGAUGGCGAAGGCAGGUCUCUGGGCAUUAACUGACGCUGAGGAGCGAAAGCAUGGGGAGCGAACAGG
rnacentral:rRNA from 1 species